UACGUAGGGUGCGAGCGUUGUCCGGAAUUACUGGGCGUAAAGAGCUUGUAGGCGGUUUGUUGCGUUGUUCGUGAAAACUCACAGCUCAACUGUGGGCGUGCGGGCGAUACGGGCAGACUAGAGUACUGCAGGGGAGACUGGAAUUCCUGGUGUAGCGGUGGAAUGCGCAGAUAUCAGGAGGAACACCGGUGGCGAAGGCGGGUCUCUGGGCCGUAACUGACGCUGAGGAGCGAAAGCGUGGGGAGCGAACAGG
rnacentral:rRNA from 1 species